AGCGAACGCUGGCGGCAGGCCUAACACAUGCAAGUCGAACGAAGUCUUCGGACUUAGUGGCGGACGGGUGAGUAACACGUGGGAACGUACCUUUUGGUUCGGAACAACUCAGGGAAACUUGAGCUAAUACCGGAUGAGCCCUUAGGGGGAAAGAUUUAUCGCCGAAAGAGCGGCCCGCGUUAGAUUAGCUAGUUGGUGAGGUAAAGGCUCACCAAGGCUACGAUCUAUAGCUGGUCUGAGAGGAUGAUCAGCGACACUGGGACUGAGACACGGCCCAGACUCCUACGGGAGGCAGCAGUGGGGAAUCUUGCGCAAUGGGCGAAAGCCUGACGCAGCCAUGCCGCGUGAAUGAUGAAGGUCUUAGGAUUGUAAAAUUCUUUUACCAGGGACGAUAAUGACGGUACCUGGAGAAAAAGCCCCGGCUAACUUCGUGCCAGCAGCCGCGGUAAUAC
rnacentral:rRNA from 1 species